rnacentral:rRNA from 1 species
AACGAACGCUGGCGGCGUGCCUAAUACAUGCAAGUCGAACGAGAAAGUGGCUUCGGUCAUGAGUAAAGUGGCAGACGGGUGAGUAAUACAUAGGUAACCUACCUCCGAGAUGGGGAUAACCUUCCGAAGGAGGGCUAAUACCGAAUGAGACCACAGUUGCACAUGCAACAGGGGUUGAAGUGGCCUCUACUUGUAAGCUAUCGCUUGGAGAUGGGCUUAUGCACCAUCAGCUAGUUGGUAAGGUAACGGCUUACCAAGGCUUUGACGGUUAGCUGAGUCUGAGAGGUUUGAUCAGCCACACUGGAACUGAGACACGGUCCAGACUCCUACGGGAGCAGCAGUUGGGAAUCUUGGACAAUGGCGCAAGCCUGAUCCAGCCAUGCCGCGUGAGUGAAGA